AAAAAAAAAUAGUUUUUGUUAAAUUACGAGACGAGUUGGUUUAACCAUGGAAAAGACAGGAAGGGGGAUAACUAGUCAGUUGUACAACUGAAUGCACUCAACUGAAGUGUGUCUUCCACAUAUAACCAACUCUUUGAAUCGGAGAGGUGCAGAGGGCUGCCUUAAAAUCCACAGCCACGUCUUCGGCGCUUUGGAAUUUUUACCUUGUCAGCUCGGGAUUCAAUACAGCAACCUUUUGGUUACUGGCUAACGCUCCUACCCGCCAGGCUACCUGCCGCUAGCCAUGAUUGGCUGAGAGAAUGGUUGGGCUGGACAUGCUGAGAGAUAAUUUCCGAUUGUGCUGUCAUGUAGCACUCUGUCUAUAACAUAAGCUGCUAAAUAUGUCUAGGUAAUCCUUUCUAAAGUGGCUUUUUUGAAAGAUAUCACAAAAAUCUGCACAAGUGUUGCUAAGGCUCUCCACUUUCUGGAGGACCGAGUUUUUAAAUCAGUGGAAUGCCUGGUGGAAGCAGAGUAUGAUGGCGUUUGACUACAAAUGCAGAGGGAGCCAAAGAGAACAAGGAAGGCUGUUGAAUAAAACACCUGUCUGGAUUACAUUUUCAAACUAAGGGCAACCGUGGCAUUUGUGACAAAGAGGGAGAAGCAUCCAUCCAUGUAUACGGGUGGGACACGAGCUGUGGGGAUGAACUGCUGAAGGACAUCUGGACCAGAGGAGAGACGGAGAUGAGGACAGGGAGCGAGGAAUAUGACGUCUUUUUGUUCUCUGGGAGUACACUGGAAGGAACUGUCCUCAUCACCACUCCAUGCUCCCGUUCCUCACUGCUGCUCGAUUGAGUACUCUCAUUGGAUAUUGAGAGGAUAGUGGGUGGAGCUAUCAAAGAAAGAGUGUCAUUGCUUCAUACCAUCAUCUUCCUCCACGGGGACUAUCCUGAAGCUGUGCGCCAGAAGAGGAAAUAACUUGUCCCAGCCGUGAAAGCUGCAGAGCGCUUGGAGACGUUGCUUAUAUCCACUUUGACAGGCCCAUUGCCCACCUUCCCUCCCAGAAGCCUGGAAGGGAUGAGGAGACCCAAGCCGAUGGAUUUGAGAAAAAACAUUGAGGGAAAUCUGACUGGAGCAAAGUACAGAGAGAUCCUUGAUGAAAACCUGCUCCAGAGAACUCAGGACGUCAGAUUGGGGCGAAGGUUCACCGUCCAACAGGACAACGACCUAAGCACAGUUACGACAACACAGGAUUGGCUUCAGAACAAGUCUCAAAAUCCUUGAGUGGCCCAGCCAGAGCCCGAUCUAACAUCUCUGGAGAGACCUGAAAAUAGCUGUGCAGCGACGCUCCCCAUCCAACCGGACAGAGCUUCAGAGGAUCGGCAGAAGAUCCACAAAUUCAGAAGGUCCCCAAAUACAGAUAUGCCAAGCUUGUAGCGUCAUACCCAAGAAGACUCAAUGCUAUAAUUGCUGUCAAAUGUGCUUCAACAAAGUACUGAGUAAAGGGCCUGAAUACUUAU